UACAGAGGUCUCAAGCGUUGUUCGGAUUCAUUGGGCGUAAAGGGUGUGUAGGUGGCGCCGUAAGUCGGGUGUGAAAUUUCGGAGCUUAACUCCGAAACUGCAUUCGAUACUGCCGUGCUUGAGGACUGGAGAGGAGACUGGAAUUUACGGUGUAGCGGUGAAAUGCGUAGAUAUCGUAAGGAAGACCAGUGGCGAAGGCGGGUCUCUGGACAGUUACUGACGCUGAGGCACGAAGGACAGGGGAGCAAACGGG
rnacentral:rRNA from 1 species